UUUAGGUUUUAUACCCACUCCAAAAAGACCAAAUACCCUUUCUUCUUUGCCGUUCUGUCUGCCUCUCUCAGUUGAUGCUCUGCGUUCUCCCACUAUUUUAUUCUUCUUUUUAUUUUAGGUUUUAUACGCACUCCAGAGAGACCAAAUACCCUUUCUUCUUUGCUGUUCUCUCUACCUCUCUCGGUUGAUGCUCUGCUGCCUCUCUCAGUUGAUGCUCUGCGUUCUCCCACUCUUUUAUUUUUCCUUUUAUUUUAGGUUUUAUACCCACUCCAGAGAGACCAAAUACCCUAUCUUCUUUGCCGUUCUCUCUACCUCUCUCAGUUCUCAAAAUCCCUAAAUCAUAGCCCAUGGGCACUCUCUCACUCCUUCAGUGGCAAAAAGUGCCAGCCUCUGGCCACCGUCAUGUAUCGCCAAAGCUAAGUGCAGGGCAGGAAGAGAAGAUGUGGAAAUUUGUGGUGCUUGCAUGCCACAAAACCUGCAUAAGUUUGCAUACUCCUAAUUUGGCUUUCAAUAUUGGUCAUUGUCCCUAGCAGGCGAUAGAGCAAGACUUCAUUUACAUCUCUCACACCCACAUGAACCACAUUGUGUUGAAGAUAUCAUUGUGGCUGCUACUUCUAAAGAUAACACCCUAAGGCUGUGGAAGGCAGGAACGUUAUGAUGGGGAGCUUUCGCUGUAUAGCCAGAGAAGAACGAAGCAAUCAAAGAGAAACUCUUUGGGAUGCAGUGUAGAUUCAACAACAAUAUGCUUGCACCUGUUUUCUCAUAUUUAGUAUGAUAAUUUAAACAAAAGUCUUAUGAAAAUAGUUAUUUAUAUUGAUAAAAUAUAGUUAGUGAAGCUAUCCCUGACCAAUUUAAUAAGAUUUUGUUGAGUUGAUUUGCAAAACUCUUCAAAUAUUAUAAAUUUUUGUUAUAAGUGCAUGCCGUAUAAUUUUACUUUU